rnacentral:rRNA from 1 species
UGGAAUGCGCAGAUAUCAGGAGGAACACCGAUGGCGAAGGCAGGUCUCUGGGCCGCAACUGACGCUGAGGAGCGAAAGCAUGGGGAGCGAACAGGAUUAGAUACCCUGGUAGUCCAUGCCGUAAACGUUGGGCACUAGGUGUGGGGCUCAUUCCACGAGUUCCGUGCCGCAGCAAACGCAUUAAGUGCCCCGCCUGGGGAGUACGGCCGCAAGGCUAAAACUCAAAGGAAUUGACGGGGGCCCGCACAAUCGGCGGAGCAUGCGGAUUAAUUCGAUGCAACGCGAAGAACCUUACCAAGGCUUGACAUGCACGAGAAGCCACCAGAGAUGGUGGUCUCUUUGGACACUCGUGCACAGGUGGUGCAUGGUUGUCGUCAGCUCGUGUCGUGAGAUGUUGGGUUAAGUCCCGCAACGAGCGCAACCCUCGUCCCAUGUUGCCAGCGGGUUAUGCCGGGGACUCAUGGGAGACUGCCGGGGUCAACUCGGAGGAAGGUGGGGAUGACGUCAAAUCAUCAUGCCCCUUAUGUCUUGGGCUUCACGCAUGCUACAAUGGCCGGUACAAAGGGCUGCGAUACCGUAAGGUGGAGCGAAUCCCAAAAACCCGGUCUCAGUUCGGAUUGGGGUCUGCAACUCG